GCCCGGGCCCGCGGGCGGUGCGGGAGCGGCGGCCGAGCCAUGGCCCAGCCCGGGGCACCGACCGGCCCACAACGGUCCUACACCAACGGCCCUGUUCAGAACCAGCUGAUGCACUCACCCGAUGGCCAGGGAUACAACCCUGCGGUUCCAGGACCGUACCCCCAUCAGGCGCCAGCGAAGGUUCCUCCACAUCAGUCUCCUGGACAGUAUAACUAUAGUGGCUCUCAGAAUGUUUCUCAGUUAAACAAUUAUCAAGGACCUGGCCAGACUCUGAACAGACCCCCAGUGCCAGCUUUCUCCGGGUCACCAGUACCACAGACAGGUCCUGCUCCGCAAGUGCUGCCGCCGCCCGCGUUACAGAACUCAGCUGCUCUAUCUUCUGCUGGAAGCUUUCCCCCUGGAGCCAGCCCACCGGUGCUUUCAAACUGGCAGUACAGCCAGCCUCCUGUGAGUCAGCCACUUGGGGCUCAAACAAGCCAUUUGGCUCAUGGGACAGGGACAGGGCCAGCUCAGCCACCGUCGUCAUUGUCAGGAAGUACAAAUCCCCCAGGGAGUUACCAAUAUGCUGCUUCUCCGGGAGGUCCCCAGCUUCAGAACAGCUACAUGAAGCCAGGAUCUGCACCUCCACCAGUGACUCAGCCUUUAACUCCACUCCACCCUCCAAGGCCACCUUUAGGACCCCCACCAGUUGGAGGUCCACCAAGGCCGCCAACAGCAGUAGCAGGACCCCCUAAUGCACAGUCUCUGCUAAAUUCAGCUGCAAAUAGAGAAGGUGAUGCUGCAUCUGCUGCCAGUGAUGGGUCUGUGGUGCAAAACAGCUACGAUGCAAUAGAAGGUGGUGGCCUCAUGGCAACUCCACAUCAUUCUCCUGCUGCCCCGAAUCUUAAGAUGAAUAGAAGUGUUGGGUAUUCUUACCCUGCCUUACCCCCAGGCUACCAACAUCCUUCUCCUCCUGGAGCACCAGGAAUGCACGGAGCUGCUUUGCAAUAUCCAGAUGGAUCAAAACAUUUCCACCAGCCUGCCCUGGGCACUAAUCACUUAACUGCAUCAAUGGGUGGCCUGAGUCUACAGCAAGAAGGGUUAAGACCUGUGAAUCUUCUUCAAGAAAGGAAUAUUCUUCCUCCGACCCUCCUGAAGGCUCCUGUCCCAAACUUGCACGAAGACAUCCAGAAGCUCAACUGUAAUCCUGAGUUGUUCCGCUGUACCUUGACUAACAUUCCUCAAACUCAGGCCUUAUUGAAUAAAGCCAAACUUCCUUUGGGGCUCCUGCUUCAUCCUUUCAAAGACUUAUCGCAAUUGCCAGUGGUCACUUCCAGUAUUAUCGUGAGAUGCCGUUCCUGCCGGACCUACAUUAACCCUUUUGUCAGCUUUCUAGACCAAAGGAGGUGGAAAUGCAAUUUGUGCUAUAGAGUGAAUGAUGUUCCCGAAGAAUUCCUGUAUAAUCCUGUGACAAGAGUUUAUGGAGAACCUCAUAAAAGACCUGAAGUCCAGAAUGCUACUAUUGAGUUUAUGGCUCCAUCUGAAUACAUGCUGCGUCCACCUCAGCCACCCGUGUACCUCUUUGUGUUUGAUGUCUCUCACAAUGCAAUUGAGACAGGAUACUUGAAUACAGUCUGCCAGACCUUGUUAGACAAUCUUGACUUGCUUCCUGGGAACACUAGAACAAAAAUAGGCUUCAUAACAUUUGACAGCACAAUCCAUUUCUACAGCCUUCAGGAAGGUCUCUCUCAGCCUCAGAUGCUUAUAGUUUCAGAUAUUGAAGAUGUAUUUAUACCAAUGCCAGAAAACUUAUUAGUAAAUUUAAAUGAAAAUAAAGAGCUAAUUCAAGAUCUGUUGAAGACCUUGCCACAGAUGUUUACCAAGUCUCUGGAAACUCAGAGUGCUCUGGGCCCUGCAUUACAGGCUGCCUUUAAACUGAUGUCCCCCACUGGAGGUAGAAUCACUGUCUUCCAGACGCAGCUUCCCACUGUGGGAAUGGGAGCACUGAAGCCACGAGAAGAGCCAAACCAAAGAGCAACUGCAAAGGACAUACACCUGACACCAUCGACUGAUUUUUACAAGAAGUUAGCCUUGGACUGCUCAGGGCAACAGGUUGCAGUGGAUUUAUUUCUUCUUAGUGGGCAGUAUUCUGACUUGGCUUCUCUAGGUUGUAUAUCCAGGUAUUCUGCAGGUAGUGUCUAUUACUACCAGUCUUACCAUCAUAAACACAACCCUGUCCAGGUGGAGAAGUUGCAAAAGGAGCUGAAACGAUAUCUAACUAGAAAAAUUGGGUUUGAGGCUGUCAUGAGGAUAAGAUGCACAAAAGGGCUUUCCAUCCAUACUUUCCAUGGGAACUUCUUUGUAAGAUCCACAGACUUGUUGUCGUUACCCAACGUGAACCCAGACGCGGGGUACGCCGUGCAAAUGUCCGUGGAAGAGAGUCUGACUGAUAUGCAAGUUGUUUCUUUCCAGUCAGCUCUCCUGUACACGUCCAGCAAGGGUGAAAGACGAAUUCGUGUGCACACCAUGUGCUUACCUGUGGUGACAACACUGAGUGAUGUGUACCUGGGGGCAGACGUGCAGGCCAUCACCGGGCUCUUGGCCAACAUGGCUGUGGACAGAUCAGUGUCUGCCACGCUGAGCGAUGCUCGGGACGCCCUGGUGAACGCAGUGAUCGAUUCCUUGUCUGCUUACCGGUCAUCGGUGCUGAGCAUCCAACAGCCCGGGCUCACUGCCCCCCACUCCCUGCGCCUCUUCCCACUGUACAUCCUGGCACUCUUGAAACAGAAAGCAUUUCAAACUGGGACGAACACACGUCUGGAUGAACGGAUCUUCACCAUGUGUCAAGUGAAAAACCAGCCCCUUGUUUACCUCAUGCUCAUGACACAUCCCAGUCUGUACAGAGUCGAUACUCUCACAGAUGAGGGGGCUCUUAACAUAAAUGACAGAACUAUACCUCAGCCACCCCUUCUCCAGCUGUCAGUGGAGAAGCUGAGCAGGGAUGGUGCUUACCUUAUGGAUGCUGGCUCUGUGAUGUUUCUGUGGGUCGGGAAGAACUGUGGCCAGGGUUUUAUCAGCCAAGUCCUCGGAGUUCCAAAUUAUGGCUCAAUACCACAGAAUAUGACACAUCUCCCAGAACUUGAAACUGCAGAAUCCAUCAGAACACGAGCUUUUGUUUCUUGGCUGAGAGAACAGAGACCUUUCUUUCCUAUACUAUAUAUAAUAAAGGAUGAGAGUCCAUUGAAAUCAAGUUUUCUGCAAAAUAUGAUUGAAGACAGAACAGAAUCAGCCUUAUCAUACUAUGAAUUCCUCCUUCAUAUACAGCAGCAAGUGAAUAAAUGAAACACUGGCCUUUGGCUCACUUCUUUAAGGAAAGAUUUUGCAGUAAAGAAUGAUUGUGCUUGUAAUAUCUUCAUUAAUUCUGUGGCCUGAGGCAGUCAAUGAGAAGUUCUCACUGUGAUUUCAACGAACUAAAGCAAAUAAAGGACCACAUCUGAGAAUCAAAUGUGCAACUACAUAAAUAUUGUACCUUAAAAAAAAAAAAAAUCAACCUGUUGGAACCGGUUGAGCACCUUUAAUUUGCUGCAAAUCGUGUUUUUACUAUAUAAAACCUCACAAUACUGAUCAUGAUUUGCAGGGAAAUUCUUUCUAAGUGCAUCCAGUGAUUACAGACAGAGCAUCUCAAUGUUCAACUUAAUGCUUAAAGUAGCAAUGAAACAAGUGUUCAUUGUGAAAUGAACAAAUACUUACGGAGUGUAGAAUCCAGUGCUUGGAUUUGGAUUAUGGCUAAUAGGACUAAAGGUAAGCUUAACCUGGACGAGAUGGCUGAAUUCAUAAAGCUUUUAAUAAGUCAGUAUUCUAAUUUAAAAGCUGGGGAGGAGUGGGCCCUACAUGAGGUGGCUGAGUCAGCAGCAAGAGUAGGCUUGGUAGAUGGCAAGCUUUGCUUUUCUUCAGUAGAAGGAAUAAUUUUAAUUUCAGUUUGUGGGAGGGGAAGGGCAAGGGAGGUUAUCUCAGAUUUAUUGUUUGGGUUUACGUUCAGUAGACUUUUGGCUGUUGUUUACGUGAACUGAAUGUCGGGCCCCUCAGAUCUGGUGUUUGUGUGGCAGCGCUUGGGGCCGAACGUUUAGAGACAACACUGAACGUUCUGAUGUUAAAACAGGAAAUUAUUUUUCCAAGAACAAAAUUAUUAUAUCGCAUUUGAAGAUUCGUGUAUCAUUGCAGACAUGCCUGAAGUUGUCAAAGGAGGGUUUUUUUACUGUAGCUGUGUGAUGAGCCCAGGUCCAAAGCCAGUGUGCACCAAAUAAAAGCUUUAAAUAUACUCUCAGAUCCUGCCAGAGCUGCAGAUUGAAGCUGACAUCAGACUUGAAUCGAAAAUUUAUAUACAAAAAGUAUUUAAAUAACUUUAUAGAAGUGUAUUGAUAGUUGUUCUGGUUUGAAGAUUAGGCUAUCAUUGAUAGCUACCAACACAGAGUAUUUAACUUGCUGUAUCCCUAUGCCUAUGGAAGUGUUGCGUAUGGAGAAAUCUUGGUUUGCUUUUUUGUUUAAGAGUGUAAACUUAAAGGUUUUGCAAAACCUGCUUCCUGGGCCAAGUAACUUGAAGAGGUUGUACACUUGUAAGUGGUCAAACGUACUGUGCUUAGUUCACUUACAUUUGGUGACACAAAUGUCAGUGGGGUCAACAUUUGGGUCAACAUUUGCUCCCAUUUCAGGCUGUAGCUGCACGUGAUUGUCAGGAGUUGCCUUACUUCAGGGGAGGAGUUCCUUGGGGGAAAUUGUUCUUGUGGCUUGAGCACAAGAAGCUAAAGUUCAGAACAAUGACUAAAAUAGCAUGGAAAGCCUAUUAUAGAACCAGUUUAAGCUUCCCUGUCUGCUGCCUCCGUAGCAAACAGGAAUAUAUUUACUUGAACAGCUUUUCAGAGAAUUGCACAGUUUCUAGUCAUAGUGAAGAGGUUUUUUAAGUUUUGACAGUCUGAUUUUUUUUUUCCAGGGGGGAAAGGGGUCUCUUCAUUUAAAUCAUAAAUGGAACCUCUGCACUUGCAUAGGUUCUGACUUAAACCUUGUGUUUUGGGUAUAUUAUCACCCAGAUGUUGAAAACCAUCCUUACAUCUAACAGCCCACCCGAAGUCUGUUUGUUACUAUGACUGUAUUUUGCUACUAUAUCCCUUAUUUUUUUUAAGAAACAUAAAUGUUGGAGGUGGCCUCAUUGCUUUAUGUACACCAGACUAAUGGCUGAAGGUGUCUGUCUUUGUGGCAAUUAACAACUUUGAAUUGCAGUCCCUAAGUUUGACAGAGCAAAACAUGAUAAAUGAGUCCGAUGAACCCUCUUGGAGUUCUCUUCUCUUUGGAAGAAAUUCUGUAUUAAUUUAUUCCCUAGCAGUGGGGAAGGCCUGCUGGUUCACUUGUACUGCUGUAAGGGCAACACAGGGCAGAUGGACACACACACUACCUAGGAUUUCUCAUUUUUACAUAACAUUGAAAAAUGAGGACACUGAAGAUGAACUGCAAAAGUAGGCAAGAGUGGCUCUGGUACUUAGAUCUCAGCAUGACAACUCUCCCACUGCAAAUGUGUGGUAGAGGUGUGUCUGUUUUUCUAGUUGAACACUUUUGUUUAAGCUAUUUCUGUAUUUGACACAUUAGUGUUCAGCGAACAACAUUGUUACCAUCCAUUUUUACUUUGCUUUCAUUAUUGUUUUUAAUUUAAUAUAUUUGAGUCUAAGUCCACAUAGACUGUGUUGCAAUAACUAGAAUGAUUCACUUUUAUUUAGAAUUAAUUUCUUAACAGAUUUUAAUCAAAGAUGCAGAAUGGCUGUUAAGUUAAGGGACCAUUAAAUGUGAUUUUAAGGUUCUGUUUACUAUUAUGGAUGUAAUCCUUAUAGUAAAUUUAAUUUUGUAAAGUAGUGUAUAAUAUUGUAAUAUUAAACCUUUGUUUUCUGAACUCAAACAUUUGAUCUUCAGUAUGAAGUUAUAAAUCUCCCCCCUUCUGAAUUUGAGACAGGAUUUACUUGUCCUCCUUUUUACAGUUUGUAAUUUUCACUGUUUUAUUCCUGUAAAAAGUCAUUUGUAACACAUGCAAAUGCUUAUUUUAUCUGUGCUAAUUUAUCAGAUUUGGCUACUCAAUAAAAUUAAUUGAAAGAACUCA